GUCAUUGUAGUAUAGUGGUAAGUAUUCCCGCCUGUCACGCGGCUGACCCGUGUUCCAUCUCCGACAAUGACA
rnacentral:tRNA from 1 species